rnacentral:rRNA from 1 species
AUUGAACGCUGGCGGCAGGCCUAACACAUGCAAGUCGCACGAGUGGCGGACGGGUGCGUAAUGUCUGGGCAACUGCCUGAUGGAGGGGGAUAACUACUGGAAACGGUAGCUAAUACCGCAUACCAUCAGAUGUUCCCAGAUGGGAUUAGCUUGUUGGUGGGGUAACGGCUCACCAAGGAGACGAUCCCUAGCUGGUCGGAGAGGAUGACCAGCAACACUUGAACUGAUACAAGGUCCAGACUCCUACGGGAGGCAGCAGUGGGGAAUAUUGCACAAUGGGCGCAAGCCUGAGGCAGCCAUGCCGCGUGUAUGAAGAAGGCCUUCGGGUUGUAAAGUACUUUCAGCGGGGAGGCGUUACCCGCAGAAGAAGCACCGGCUAACUCCGUGCCAGCCGCCGCGGUAAUAC